rnacentral:rRNA from 1 species
GAUGAACGCUGGCGGCGUGCCUAAUACAUGCAAGUCGAGCGAACGGACGAGAAGCUUGCUUCUCUGAUGUUAGCGGCGGACGGGAGAGUAACACGUGGAUAACCUACCUAUCAGACUGGGAUAACUUCGGGAAACCGGAGCUAAUACCGGAUAAUAUUUUGAACCGCAUGGUUCAAACGUGAAAGACGGUCUUGCUGUCACUAAUAGAUGGAUCCGCGCUGCAUCAGCUAGUUGGUAAGGUAACGGCUUACCAAGGCAACGAUGCAUAGCCGACCUGAGAGGGUGAUCGGCCACACUGGAACUGAGACACGGUCCAGACUCCUACGGGAGGCAGCAGUAGGGAAUCUUCCGCAAUGGGCGAAAGCCUGACGGAGCAACGCCGCGUGAGUGAUGAAGGUCUUCGGAUCGUAAAACUCUGUUAUUAGGGAAGAACAUAUGUGUAAGUAACUGUGCACAUCUUGACGGUACCUAAUCAGAAAGCCACGGCUAACUACGUG